GUGUGUGUGUGUGUGUGUGUGUGUGUGUGUGUGUGUGUGUGAGAGAGAGAACUGUACGAGCUAUAGUAGCUAGCUAAUUUAGCAACUACUGUACUUGUGUAGUUAGCAAAUUGUGUGUGGUUGUGUGAGAAGAGAGAGCUCACACACACAGGGAGAGGAGAGAGCGUGAGAGAAAGGAAUGAGCACUGUGGGUGUGUGUGUAAGAACUGUACGAGCUAUAGUAGCUAGCUAAUUUAGCAACUACUGUACUUGUGUAGUUAGCAAAUUGUGUGUGGUUGUGUGAGGAGAGAGCUCACACACACAGGGAGAGGAGAGAGCGUGAGAGAAAGGAAUGAGCACUGUGUGUGUGUGAGAUAGAGAGAGAGGAGGGAAAGGGGGUGUGUGUGUGUGUGUGUGUGUGUGUGUGUGUGUGUGUGUGUGUGAGAUAGAGAGGAGGGAAAGGUGUGUGUGUGUGUGUGUGUGUGUGUGUGUGUGUGUGUGUGUGUGUGUGUGUGUGAGAUAGAGAGGAGGGAAAGGUGUGUGUGUGUGUGUGUGUGUGUGUGUGUGUGUGUGUGUGUGUGUGUGUGUGUGUGUGUUUGGAGAGAGGGAGAGUGUGUGUGUGUGAGAGAGAGAGGGGGGGAGUGUGUGUAUGGCAAGGGGGAGUGGUGUGUGUUGGAGAGGCGGAGAGUGUGUGUUGGAGAGGAGGAGAGUGUGUGCGUGACAGACACAGUAUGUGUGUGUGAGAGGGAGGGGGUGCGUGUUGUGUGGAGAGACUGUGUGACAAAGAGAACAAGAGUGUGUGUGAGAGGAAUGAGCACAGAGAGUGUGUGUGUGUGUGUGUGUGUGUGUGUGUGUGUGUGUGUGUGUGUGUGUGUGUGUGUGUGUGUGUGUGUGUGUGUGUGUGUGUGUGUGUGUGUGUGUGUGGUAGAGAGAGGGGGUGUGGUGUGUGUGCUAGAGGGGGUGGCAUGUGUGGAUGAAUGUGUGUGUGAGAGAAAGGAGGGGAGGAGUUGUGUGUGUGUGUGUGUGUGUGUGGGGAGGAAGAGGGGAGGAGUUGUAUGUGUGUGUAAGGGAGAGAAAGGGGGAAAGUGAAACGGUGUGUUUUUCAGAGAUUGUGUGAGAGAAAGUGUUGGGGGAGAGCAGCAGUGAGGAAAAGGGGAGAGAAAAAAGAAAUAAGGUGUGUUUUUAGGGAGAGUGUGUGUGAGGAGAGAGCUGUGAGAGAGACUGUGAAGGACGUGUGUGUACGUGAGGGUGAGCAUAUUUGUGUAAUAAAGGGGGAGUGUGUGUGAGGGAGGGAGGGAUAGAGGGGAAGUGUGUGAGAGAGGUACACCGAAGGGGAGGGAAGAGUGUGUUUGUGCAUACAUGUGUGUUGCUUAGUGGGGGAGGGUGUAUGAGUUGUUUGUGGUGUGUGUGUGUGUGUGUGUGUGUGUGUGUGUGUGUGUGUGUGUGUGUGUGUUAGAGAGAGGAGUGGUCUGUGUGUGAGGGACUAGUGUGUUUAUGUGUAACCAAGAAAUGUGUGGGGGUGUGUGUGUUUGUAGAAGGGAUAAAGCAAAGGGGAUGAUUGUGUGUGAGAGAGAGAGAGAGAAUGUGUUUCUGACUUUCCAUUAGUGUGUUGUCUUCUAAGUAGAAAGAAUAGUUUAGUAAGAGACUAACAUUUUGUGGUAUCAUAUUUUGUGUGUGUGAGAGAUUUGAGUUUUUGUUUAGUGAUUUUAAACUGACAGUGAAGACUAGUGAAGAAAAGUGUGUGUGUCUGUCUUUAAGAAAUGGAACAGGGCAGUGUGUUUGCUUGUGUGUAAGAGACAGGAAAGGAGAGUAUUUAUGCAUCUACUUUGUUUAUGAAAGAGGGAAGGACAGUG
rnacentral:lncRNA from 1 species